GUAGGUGGCAAGCGUUGUCCGGAAUUAUUGGGCGUAAAGCGCGCGCAAGCGGUUCUUUAAGUCUGAUGUGAAAGCCCACGGCUCAACCGUGGAGGGUCAUUGGAAACUGGAGAACUUGAGUACAGAAGAGGAAAGCGGAAUUCCACGUGUAGCGGUGAAAUGCGUAGAGAUGUGGAGGAACACCAGUGGCGAAGGCGGCUUUCUGGUCUGUAACUGACGCUGAGGCGCGAAAGCGUGGGGGAGCAAACAGGAUUAGAUACCCUGGUAGUCCACGCCGUAAACGAUGAGUGCUAAGUGUUAGGGGGUUUCCGCCCCUUAGUGCUGCAGCUAACGCAUUAAGCACUCCGCCUGGGAGUACGGCCGCAAGGCUG
rnacentral:rRNA from 1 species